AGACCUUGAUAGUGUCUUUGCUGAAAUAACACUAGUAUUUGAGAGUUUUAUGAGAAAUUGAGUCAUUUUGAGUGAGGUGAUGUGAGGGAGAUGUUUGAAAGCCAUAGAAUUACAUGACAUAGCAUUUCCCACCAUUUACACGUGAUUUGGACUCAAAGUAUGCAAAAAGUUGCAAAACAGCGAAUUCUGAGUUUGUAGUUCAGCAAUCUUUGAGUA
rnacentral:lncRNA from 1 species